UGUGCACAGGAGGGAGGGUUAGCGAAGAAAGAGGGAAUGGAGGAGGGAGGCACGGCGGAGGCAAGUCAGAGGGGCAGGCAGUGGAGGACGAGAAGAAAGAGGGCAUGCGAGGAAGCGGCGCGGAUGGGUGGAGGGGCAACGAGAGAAGAACGGGACAUUUUAUUAUUUGUUUUCAAGAAAAAAGAGUUCUUGGACAGCCCAGUACCUCCCAGCCACACACACAAGUUAAGGACCACCAUUGCCACAUCCUACUGUUUGGCUUCUGAGGAGAGGAUGCUUGUACUAAUAGCUGUGCCUGCAGUCUGGGGAGAGCUUGUCAAGGUUAUUGUUAGCCCAAGUGUCUAUCUUCUUGUUCACCAGAAGACCCCACAAUCUGAAGAAAGCACCAGGAAUGUGACCCAUCAGCAGAUAUGGAACACACUCCAGCAAAGAAUCACUGGAUGUAUCACUUUAGCAUGAACAAGCCUGUCCUGCCUUCUGAUCUUUUUAGCUUAUAUUUACUACUAGCAAAGGAAUGCACUAAAGACAAGAGUCAGCAGUGAGUGAAGGUGAUCUCAGCAGCAAAGAAAGCCUUACUCCCUAAUCCCUUGCUCCUGCCCUCAUCCACAUAUUCCUGUCCUCUCAAGCACCCAUCCUUCCUUGUUCCAGAUAUGACGGUUGAAAGAAAGAGUGAAUGAAGAGAGAAUGAUGAGAUCAGAACCCAGAUCCUUCUGUUAGCUUAUUGAGGUGGAAAAAAGAAGAAUGGUUAUUAUGAAGAAGAGAAAGUUCACAAAGUGGAUGGGAAACAGAAGCAGGACACUGGUAGACAUGUCUGAGCACUGUCACUUUCCUUAGCAGCCCGUGGGGGGAAUUCUGUGAAGAAACAGGAAGCUGGUCAAUGCUACCCAUUUUACCCAAUCUAUCAUUCAUACAGGGCAAGGAGCAGCAGUGGAGAAGAUGAAGUUUACUGAAGGUAUGUGUUAGGUCUGCUUUUCAAAAAGCAGGUUGCUGCACAAAAGUCAUACAGGUCAUUGGAAGAUCUAUGUCUCCACCUAUGGAUAGACAGGUGAUAAAUACUUAUGUGAACUGUAUAGCAGUCUGGUCUUCAACACUGUUACCUGGUGUCUCUGUAUGCGCUAGGGAAAAUAUGGCCAUAGGCUUGUACAGACUAAUUUGACAGCUCUAGAGGGUGGUUAUUACGCUCCAGGAAAUUCUACACAAUUAAGACCAUCCUGAUUUAGUUCGCAAGGUACUUAAGCACAGAUCAGUAACUGAGCAUCAGACUCCCUUUAGCAACUGAGACUACUAUGAAACAGAGCUUUGUGCUUGUUUGGGGUUUUGUUUUGUUUUGUUGUGUUGUGUUGUGUUUUUGUUUGCUUGUUUAGAAACUACUUUUCUGAAGGCAAUUUUGAGACAUUUUACUGUAAAGUACAUGGGAUAUGAUCUAAAACUGAGCUAGGUUACAGAGUUUGUAGUGAAAUGCAGUGUUUUGCUCCUUUCAGUCUCAUCCCAGCACAGUGAUAAGCACCACCAGUUCCCAUUAAACUCAAUACAACCACAAUAGCAGUUGAAACCACUUAGUUAAGAAUUGCCCCUCUGAAAGUAGAUAAAGGGUAAGCUGUAAUACAAUGUUCAUACACUCUUUAGUACUUAGUAAAACUGUAAAUAUGGCCUUUUGAAAUAAUAUCUCCUUUCCUGAAGUGUCUGCAGUCCUAGAGACAUUAUUCAACAGUCUGAUAGUAAGAAGUCUUAUUAAUAUGUCUGUAAAAGAAAGGUAUACAGGAGGAUUUUUAAUGCACUUUGCCACAGCAAAAUUUACUAGCUGUGUACCUUCAUGAGUCACAUAUGUUGAAUACAGUAUUUAUGAUGAGGUUAGGAGCCAAAAUAUAUUAAUAAGUAAAUGAAAAUUACUUAUACUGUCUUUUUUGCAAUUAAUCUCUGGCAUAAAUCUGGAAUGAGCUCCAUAGAAAUUUCAACACGAAAACCCGAGAUUUAAGAUUAAUAACCUGAAAUUGUAUACUGCUAUUGAAUAUUAAGUAGAAAUAUUGUAUCUUUAAAUAUAAUUAAUUUCAUUCCAAUUCUGCAUACAUAAAUGAUGAAUGUGCUGCAGGACGGUAUUAAGAAAUAAAUAAAUGUAUUAACACAUACUGUAGAACUUGGCACAAAAUGUUAGCUUUGCUGUAACAACUUUAAGGGGAUUGUAACUAAGGGAUAAAGUUUGGAUCCCUUUAAAAAGAAGUCAUCACUAUAAUUUUUUUAUUUUUUUAAAAAAUACUUGCAAAAAAGUAGAAUCUGUAUUUUAAAGCAUAUCUAAUUAUUUUCAUCCUUGGCUGUCUUUGAUCACUCACUUUCUGAAUAAUGAAAGCACUGCAUAGUGAAAGCACUUGUGAGAAGCAAGAAGAGGAAAUGUGUGUGGAUUCAGCUGGGAUAGAGUUAAUUUUCUUCCUAGUAGCUGGUGCAGUGCUGUGUUUUGGCUUGUGUCUGAGAACAAUGCUGACAAUACACCUAUGUUUUGGUUGUUGAGUAGCACUUACCCUGAUCAAGGACUCUUCAGUCUCAUGCUCUGCCAGUGAGGAGGGACACAAGAAGCUGGGAGGAA